rnacentral:rRNA from 1 species
UGGUCAAGCAAAAAAGAGCGCAAGGAGAAUGCCUUGGCACUGGGAGCCGAUGAAGGACGCGACAAGCUGCGAUAAGCCAUGGGGAGCUGCAAAUGAGCAUUGAUCCAUGGAUUUCCGAAUGGGGAAACCCCUGUGGGAAAAGCCCACAGAUCCUGCAUUGAAUCAAAUAGGUGUAGGAAGGGAACCGCCUGAACUGAAACAUCUAAGUAGGGCGAGGAAGAGAAAUCAAACGAGAUUCCGCUAGUAGUGGCGAGCGAACGCGGAAGAGGCCAAACCAGAGGUAGCAAUAUCUCUGGGGUUCGGACAGCAACAUGUAUCAGCGGAGAUAGCCGAAGGGCAUGGGAAGGCCCAUCAUAGAAGGUGAGAAUCCUGUAGGCGAAAUUGAAACUGAGCUAGCUGUAUCCAGAGUACCGCGGGACACGAGGAAUCGCCGUGGGAAGACGGGUGGACCACCAUCCAAGCCUAAAUACUACUCAGUGACCGAUAGAGGAGCAGUACCGUGAGGGAAAGGUGAAAAGGACCCCGGGAGGGGAGUGAAAGAGAACCUGAAACCUUGUGCUUACAAGCACUCAAAGCCCGUUAAAGGGUGAUGAGGUACUUUUUGUAGAACGGUCCGGCGAGUUAUUGUUUCAUGCAAGGUUAAGGAACUGGAGUUCCGCAGCCGAAGGGAAACCGAGUCUGAAUAGGGCGUAUGAAGUAUGGGGCAAUAGACCCGAAACCGGGUGACCUAUCCAUGAGCAGGUUGAAGUGGAGGUAAAACUCCAUGGAGGACCGAACCCACGCCUGUUGAAAAAGUCGGGGAUGACUUGUGGAUAGCGGAGAAAUUCCAAUCGAACUCGGAGAUAGCUGGUUCUCCCCGAAAUAGCUUUAGGGCUAGCGUCAUGUUAGAUUACCGGAGGUAAAGCACUGAAUGGACUAGGGGCCGCGAGGUUACCGAACCCUAUCAAACUAAGAAUGCCGGAUAAUUGGUGCAUGGCAGUCAGACUACGUGAGAUAAGUCUCGUGGUCAAAAGGGAAACAGCCCAGAUCCACAGCUAAGGUCCCUAAUAGAUGCUAAGUGUAAAAUGAUGUGGAGUUGCACAGACAAUCAGGAUGUUGGCUUAGAAGCAGCCACACAUUCAAAGAGUGCGUAAUAGCUCACUGAUCGAGUGGCUCUGCGCAGAAGAUAUAACGGGGCUAAGCAUCUAACCGAAGCUUGGGCAGCGCAUGCGCUGGGUAGGGGAGCGUUCUUAUCGGGGCGAAGCAAGAGCGGAAGCACUUGUGGACUGAUAAGAAGUGAGAAUGCCGGAAUAAGUAGCGAGAAUUAUGUGGGAAUCAUAAUGGUCGAAAAUCUGAGGUUUCUUGGGGAAGGUUCGUCCGCCCAAGGUAAGCCGGGAGCUAAGGCGAGGCCGAAAGGCGUAGUCGAUGCACAUACGGUGGAAAUUCCGUAGCCGCUGACAUUUAAACCGCAGUGACACUUUGAGAUAGGAGAACCCGGGCGAUGGUUGCCCCGGGCGUAAGGGACCGAAAUUACAGUAGGGAAGUCUUCGAUGCUCAGAGGCGAGAAAAGCUGUGGCGUAUACUAAAGCGCCCGUACCGCAAACCGACACAGGUAGAUGAGGAGAGAAUCCUAAGACCAACGGGAGAAGGGUUGUCAAGGAACUAGGCAAAUUGGACUCGUAACUUCGGGAGAAGAGUCGCCCUCAGCAAUGAGGGUCGCAGUGAAAAGGCCCAAGCGACUGUUUAACAAAAACACAGGUCUCUGCUAAAUCGAAAGAUGAAGUAUAGGGGCUGACGCCUGCCCGGUGCUGGAAGGUUAAGAGGAGAGGUUAGCGCAAGCGAAGCUUUGAUCUGAAGCCCCAGUAAACGGCGGCCGUAACUAUAACGGUCCUAAGGUAGCGAAAUUCCUUGUCAGGUAAGUUCUGACCCGCACGAAUGGCGUAACGAUUUGGGCACUGUCUCGACAGCCCGCCCGGCGAAAUUGUAGUACUGGUGAAGAUGCCAGUUACCCGCAACUAGACGGAAAGACCCCAUGGAGCUUUACUGUAGCUUGAUACUGGAUUUUGAUAUUUCAUGUACAGGAUAGGUGGGAGGCUUGGAAAUCUGGGCGCCAGCUCAGGUGGAGCCACCGUUGGGAUACCACCCUUGAACUAUUGGAAUUCUAACCUGCGGCCGUGAAUCCG